ensembl:lncRNA
CUACGGAGCCCACCAAUGGCUGAGCAGGACCACUAAUAGUUGCACCCCCCCCCCAUCGUUGCCUGGUAACGGGGUUAGGGAGAGGGGGGGAAUGGCACGCAGCAACAACAAUGUGCUAAUAACUGCGCCUGGUCCUCAUUCUAUGAAGCACAUCCUUUCGGGUCCAGCACCAAGAUUUCUCCUUCCUCACGAAUCCAAAAACCUCUGGAAUGUGUGGUGUAGAUGAAGUCGCCAACCAGCCGGUUCCUGCUAUGUGUCUGUCAGGAUGGGAUGGUCCAGAACUCACUCCAAGAUGCUGGACCAGAAGAAAUGAAACCUUAUGUACACCAAAGAUUCAUGAAGGCUUCUGGUGGCUUUAUUCACAAUAGCUCCAAACUGGAAGCAACCUGUCCAUUAACAUGAAAAUGGAUAUACAAACUGUGAUAUAGUCACACUGCCCAGCAAUAGAGUUACAAAUAAACAAUGCCUGUAGUCAUGUAUGGAUGUGAGAGUUGGGCCAUGAAGAAGGCUGAGCACUGAAGAAUUGAUGCUUUUAAACUGCGGUGCUGGAGAACAUACCUGAGAGUCCUUUGGACAGCAAGGAGAUUAAACCAGUCCAUCCUAUAGGAAAUCAACCCUGAAUCUUCAUUGAAAGGACUGAUGCUGAAGCUGAAGCUCCAAAACUUUGGCCACCUGAUGUGAAGAGCCAACUCUUUGGAAAAGAUCCCAUUGCUGGGAAAGACUGAAGGCAGGAGGAGAAGAGGGCAACAGAGGAUGAGAUGGUUGGAUGGCAUCACUGAUUCUGUGGACAUGAAUUUAAACAACUCCAGGAGAUGGAGAAGGACAGGGAAGCCCGGUGUGCUGUAGUCCACGGGGUCACAGAAUUGGUCAUGACUUAGUGACUGAACAGCACCAACGUGGGUAAAUCCUCAAAACCUGUGGAACAAAUGAGAACUGGCACCAAACAGCACAUAUAUUGAUUCCAUUUUUAUGUCUGUGAGAACAGAGCAAAUCUAGAGUGAUCUGGAUAAGAGCUGAUUUUGGGGGUGGGGUGCACUGUGG